GACCGAGACUAUUCUGGAAACAACCCCGGCUGGCAAAAGCGAUGGGGAAGGUGCACUUCGAGCAUUCAUUAAGCGCCAGGGCCAAAAGUUAAGGCGGCUAUCAAACCUUUUUGGUUGUCGUGACCCCGAGUAUGUAUCACCAGAACGGUCUAGGUCGGCGACACCAUCAGAUCCCGCUUCGGGGCAGGGCCAUGAUGAACCUUUCGAGGAUGAGGACGUGGGUGUGGUCACCCAAGAGGUAUGUCACGACGAUAUAUAUCCAUUUGUUGAUGCAUUGCUAACUAUAUCCUCACACACGGUCUUUCCAUAUCUUCUGUUGAUGCAUAGGUUGCUGAUGAUAUGACCGUGGGGAGGUACCAGGCUUGGUCUGCAUACGAGUUGAAGCCUAGGACGGGAAUCAACAAGUACACACCUGAAGACUUCACCCAAAGAGGCCAAAGAGGCAAAAGGACGGUCGGCACCUCGCGGAUGGCGGCUUUGGAUGACUAUUUGGAUGACUAUGUAGAUGACGUGGACGAACCGGAGCCGGAGCGGGUUCCUCUUCCUAGGAAGGUGAAGAAGAUAAGCGUCAAGAGGGGGGAGGAGCCAGCAAGCGUGGAAAGCACUAGUCAUCGUCAUUUUUUUAUAAUGUUGAACUUAGAGUGGAAUUUGUUAUGUCGUUGAACUUGGAGUGGUCGUACCUAUUAGUAAUGUGGAAUUUGUUAUGUCAUUGAA